UACAGAGGUCUCAAGCGUUGUUCGGAUUCAUUGGGCGUAAAGGGUGCGUAGGUGGCGCUGUAAGUCGGGUGUGAAAUUUCGGAGCUUAACUCCGAAACUGCAUUCGAUACUGCGGUGCUUGAGGACUGGAGAGGAGACUGGAGUUCAUGGUGUAGCAGUGAAAUGCGUAGAGAUCAUGAGGAACACCCGUGGCGAAGGCGGCUCUCUGGGACGGUACUGACGCUGAGACGCGAAAGCGUGGGGAGCGAACAGG
rnacentral:rRNA from 1 species